AUGUGGGAGUUGCGGCAGAGGGCUCUGGCGAAGGCCCGGGCCCCGCCGCUCCCGAUGCAGUUCCUGCCGAGGAACAGCUCCGUCAGGCUGGU
rnacentral:SRP_RNA from 16 species